CUUAUACGCUUUGUUGUAUUAUACAGUUUGUGUAUACGUAUUACACAAUUUUUGAAAACAAAACACAGGUCAAUCACCAGAAAAAGAAGAUGCUUGCCCCGAUGCUAUUCAAAUUUGAAUUUUGAAAUUCAAAAUUGCGAUGACGAUGGUGACACACACGAUGAUACACACAGUCACACAUAAUACAACUACGGUCUAUUUAGAUCUCUUCUCCUUUCAUUUUGUCUCUUUUACUAUUUUCUCGAUAUUUUCGGUAAACCUCAGGUUUUUGUUAUAUGUAACUGAAUACUGACUAUAAUUGUUUGGUUUUUAUGAUGAUGAUUAACGAUAUGCAAAUGUUUGGAUGUUGCUGGACAGCCACCGCCAUUGUUUUUGUGAAAUCUUGCAUUCUUCUGAAAGUCUACCACCUUCUUCUGCUUCUCGGUUUCUUGAUUCCUUAUGAAUUUCCAAGUCUUCGGCUUCUUUUCAAGGGCUGGAGAUGCAACUCAGGUUUCUACAGAUACCUUCAAGAAUAUAGAAGCAAAUGCUGUAGAUACUAUGCAGGCAACCACAUUAAGGAAUGAAACUGUUGGUAUAAAAGCGCUAGCUAAGGUGAUUUGCAUCUUCCCAAAAUUGUUCCAAAUGAUGAAUCAACGAUUGUCUAUAAAUCCUUCUGAGUUCAUUGCUAAUUGGUUAUAGCUUUUUUAGAAAGAAAAAAAAAAAGUGGUUUGUGUUUGCGAUUGUACUCUGUUCAUGGUAAUGUCAAUUGUUCAUUAUGUAUCAUUGCUGCUUGGGUCCAUUUAUGCUGCCGGAAAUACAGUACCCAUUCCUUUUUUAAAGGCAACCGAUAUAUCACCUAUUGCAUUGUUGUCGAACAACGUGCUUGGAUGCCGUGAUAGUGGGGAAAUAUUGCUGUGGAAACAAUGCAGGAGCUCUUUGCAGGUGAUGGCAAUCUAAAAAGGGAAAGAGUAGGCAAAAUGAGGUCUCUUUCGGUUUCUCUGAUUAUAUCUCUAUGCAUGCCUCACAGAUAAUCAGUUUUAUGUAUAUAGUUUUAUCCAAUUUCUCCAAAGACGAAGGUGAUGAUCCUGCAGGAUUUUGCCAACCUCAUGCCUCCAGAAGCUCAAAAUUGAGUCUUAUGAUGAAUUAAGUGCAGAAUUAUGUGAGCUUGCAGUAGAUGAUCCCUUUUAUUGUGAGCUUAUAUGUGUGAUAUUUGGUGGUAUAUUGUGUUUUCAAAACAGAUUUAUUGAUACAGUGGUGGACCAUUUUGAUGCCAGUAUGAGAGUGUAGGCCAUGGCCAGUAUAUUAAGUUUUGGAUGCGAAACUAAUGAUGUUAAGAUGCAGAAGGUUUUUGUUCAAAAAUUUUGAAUUUGGAUUGUGCUUUUGUA